ensembl:misc_RNA Metazoa_SRP Metazoan signal recognition particle RNA
GCCAGGUGUGGUGGCCCACGCCUGUAAUCCCAGCACUUUGGGAGGCCGAGACGGGUGAAUCACUUGAGGUCAGGACUUUGAGACCAGCCUGGCCAACAUGGUGAAACCCCGUCUCUA